UGAAUACGAGAUGCUACGGCGUCGAAGCAGUCUAUGUCAUACUUCCAAGAAAAGCUUGCACUGUCAUAAACAAAUAAUGCCUGUACCAUAACCGACACAGGUGGGUAGGUAGAGUAUACUAAGGGGCGCGAGAUAACUCUCUCUAAGGAACUCGGCAAAAUGACUCCGUAACUUCGGGAGAAGGAGUGCCUUAUUUAUAAGGUUGCAAUAACAAGAUCCAAGCAACUGUUUACCAAAAACACAGGUCUCCGCUAAGUCGUAAGACGAUGUAUGGGGGCUGACGCCUGCCCAGUGCCAGAAGGUUAAAGAAGUUGGUUAGCAUCCGCGAAGCUGAUAACUGAAGCCCUGGUGAACGGCGGCCGUAACCAUAACGGUCCUAAGGUAGCGAAAUUCCUUGUCGGGUAAGUUCCGACCCGCACGAAAGGCGUAAUGAUUUGGAUACUGUCUCGGAGAGGGGCUCGGUGAAAUAGACUUGUCUGUGAAGAUGCGGACUACCUGCACCAGGACAGAAAGACCCUAUGAAGCUUUACUGUAACCUGAAAUUGAAAUUGGACUUUACUUGCGCAGUAUAGGUGGGAGGCGUUGAGAAUAUUCUUGCGGGAUUAUUGGAGCCAUCAGUGAGAUACCACUCUUGUAAUGUUAGAUUUCUAACUUUGUAUCAUUAUCUGGUCAAAGAACAGUUUCAGGCGGGCAGUUUGACUGGGGCGGUCGCCUCCUAAACGGUAACGGAGGCGCACAAAGGUUUCCUCUGAACGGGUAGAAAUCGUAUCUAGAGUGUAAAGGCAUAAGGAAGCUUGACUGUGAGACCUACAAGUCGAGCAGGGACGAAAGUCGGUCUUAGUGAUCUGACGGUGCUGAGUGGAAAGGCCGUCACUCAACGGAUAAAAGUUACUCUAAGGAUAACAGGCUGAUCCCCCCCAAGAGUUCACAUCGACGGGGAGGUUUGGCACCUCGAUGUCGGCUCAUCGCAUCCUGGGGCGGUAGUACGUCCCAAGGGUUGGGCUGUUCGCCCAUGAAAGCGGUACGCGAGCUGGGUUCAGAACGUCGUGAGACAGUUCGGUCCAUAUCCGGUGUAGGCGUUAGAAUAUUGAGAGGAGCCUUCUUUAGUACGAGAGGACCGAGAAGGACAUACCUCUGGUGUACCAGUUAUCGUGCCAACGGUAAACGCUGGGUAGCUAUGUGUGGAGUGGAUAACCGCUGAAAGCAUCUAAGUGGGAAGCCCACCUCAAGAUAAGUAUUCUC
rnacentral:rRNA from 1 species